rnacentral:rRNA from 1 species
AUUGAACGCUGGCGGCAGGCUUAACACAUGCAAGUCGAGCGGAGAUGAGGUGCUUGCACCUUAUCUUAGCGGCGGACGGGUGAGUAAUGCUUAGGAAUCUGCCUAUUAGUGGGGGACAACAUUCCGAAAGGAAUGCUAAUACCGCAUACGUCCUACGGGAGAAAGCAGGGGAUCUUCGGACCUUGCGCUAAUAGAUGAGCAUAAGUCGGAUUCGCUAGUUGGUGGGGUAAAGGCCUACCAAGGCGACGAUCUGUAGCGGGUCUGAGAGGAUGAUACGCCACACUGGGACUGGGACACGGCCCAGACUCCUACGGGAGGCAGCAGUGGGGAAUAUUGGACAAUGGGGGGAACCCUGAUCCAGCCAGGCCGCGUGUGUGAAGAAGGCCUUAUGGUUGUAAAGCACUUUAAGCGAGGAGGAGGCUACUGAGACUAAUACUCUUGGAUAGUGGACGUUACUCGCAGAAUAAGCACCGGCUAACUCUGUGCCAGCAGCCGCGGUAA